rnacentral:rRNA from 1 species
GUCCACGCCCUAAACGAUGCGAGCUGGAUGUCGGGGGGCUUGCCCCUCGGUGUCGGAGCCAACGUGUUAAGCUCGCCGCCUGGGGAGUACGGCCGCAAGGUUAAAACUCAAAGGAAUUGACGGGGGCCCGCACAAGCGGUGGAGCAUGUGGUUUAAUUCGACGCAACGCGCAGAACCUUACCAGCUCUUGACAUGGCCGCUAAAGCCGGGCGCGCGCCGGGGUCCCGCAAGGGGCGGUCACAGGUGCUGCAUGGCUGUCGU